GGCCUGCAUUUCAAUAAAAACCUGACAGCUUCAGCUCGGCCUGUUCCUCAACCGGUCACUGUCUAGUUGCUGAAUAAGCUGCCACAGCCAAAUUAGUAGGUUAAUGGGAAUCCGGUAUUGAUCUUCAUCAAGUACUAAAUAGAUGUGGACGGGGGUCCAGCCACGGGGUUGUAUUAUAUGCUCAAUUAUGGAAAAUAAAAUACAUUUGAUGACAGUCUAUUCAUCAUUCAUGGCACUGUUAUCGACUUACUAGUACUACAGAAACUGAGGAAGCUGCAGAGUUACUGAUCCUGUUCAAUGGUCAUCCAGGGCUUCAUGUCCGGGAUCUUUCAAAAAAAAGUUUUAUGUCCAGGGUCGUGGGAUCUGGCUUCAGGAAGACAAAUUUCAUGGCACGUGGUGGCUAUCGGCCUGCCGGUCACCGGCAGCUCACGAGAUAUUCAUGGAAGGGAAAAUAUCAGCGGGAUCGCUCGCCGGGAAUGCGACACGGCGGUGGGCACCCUACAGUGUCGUCCGGUACUCGGCUUCCCAUUUCGUCAUCCGUAACCGCGCUACUUUUCUUCCCACCGGCCGGGAGGCGGGCGGAGCACGCGUGCCCGGAGGAGCCAACCCACGCUCGGCAGCCAGCCGGCCAACCAAACCGAAGCAGAACGGCCGACCUCUCUGCCUGCCGUCCCGGUUGUUCCUUUCCCACCAGGCCGCCGUCCCUCUCGAGCGGGGAUGCGAGAUCACAUCGCGACGGCUGGACGACGAAGCGUCAUCGGCCAUCGGCCAGGCGGGCAGGCCAGCGUGAAGCAGAACCAGCGAUGAAAAGCACGCGCCCGCGCGGCCCCGCUCCACCUGCGCGCGCGUGGGCUGCGAGAGGGGCCGCACGCGCGCGCCCCGUGCUGGCGGCACCCGCGACACCGACGUGCCGCGGCGCCGAUCACGCCAACGCCCUCCCUUUCAGCUCUCUCUGACCGGUCUCGCUCGGGGAGUGAUCUGGAGAGGAAGCGCUACACGACCGAGCCCAGGAACAGAGAUGGAGCUACGCGAGCCGCCUCAUCUUUACUGAUGUGAUACGCUGGCUCGUGUGUCGUGCGUCAGGACAGGGGCCAUGCUGCGGCCUGCGGGCGAUACAUUGGCUUCCAUACAAUUUUCAUACAAUAAUGGAAUGUCCUCUUCCUCCGUGA